CGAAGCAAGCCAGUAAAGAACA
rnacentral:misc_RNA from 1 species